GCAAAUUCCACUCCAGUCCUUCGCCUUCUUCUUCAGUCGGUUCGGCGCCUCCCAUGGAAAACGGCACCCCAAGCGCACGUUAGCGCAGACCGCCCCUUUUCUUCCCUGCACUUGCACGGCUUAAAUCAUUAAAGCCUGGACAACGAAAUCUUCUGUCGUUUUUCGUCCGAUACUACAAUCUCCGAUUCGGCCCGCUCCCGUGGAGAGAAUCAUCCCCACUGGCGCACGUUAGCAGGUACCGUCCUUUCCGUUCCUCUCCGCAGCUUCAGAUCGUUUCUGACGCAUUUGUGCGACUGGAACGAAAGCGAAGGAAGAAGUGGAAAGGCUAAUAUUGUCAGGGCAUGUGGGGACGCCCAAUUCUGCGUGAUUCUUCUUCCAUGCACAAACGGUUGUCAUCGAGGGAGGGCAUGGAUCUACUAGACAGAGAAGGUAAUUCAGAACGUUCACAGAAUGGCAUGGGGCAAGAAGGUACACACCCUUCUUGGAGACUCUCUUUGCCGCAUGUCUGUGUAGCUACCAUUUCUUCAUUCUUAUUUGGUUACCACAUUGGAGUUGUUAACGAGCCACUUGAAAGCAUUGCUUUAGAUCUUGGGUUUGGUGGGAAUACUUUGGCUGAAGGUCUUGUUGUUAGUAUUUGUUUGGGUGGUGCCUUUGUUGGAUGUCUUCUUAGUGGUUGGAUUGCUGAUGGGAUUGGACGUCGUAGGGCUUUCCAGUUGAGUGCUUUGCCAAUGAUUAUUGGGGCUUCUCUCAGUGCAACAACAAAAAAUUUGGAGGGUAUGCUACUUGGGAGGUUGUUUGUUGGAAUAGGAAUGGGCCUUGGACCACCUGUUGCAUCUCUUUAUGUGACAGAGGUUUCACCUUCUUUUGUGAGGGGUACUUAUGGAAGCUUUAUUCAAAUUGCAACAUGUCUGGGAAUUAUAGGGGCUCUUUUUAUUGGAAUCCUGACAAAGGAGAUUUUGGGUUGGUGGCGUGUGUGUUUCUGGGUUUCUGCCAUUCCUGCUGCAAUACUUGCUGUUGGCAUGGAGUUCUGUGCAGAGAGUCCUCACUGGCUUUAUAAGCAAGGAAAAUGUGUUGAAGCUGAAGCUGAAUUUGAGAGGCUCUUGGGAGGAUCACAUGUCAAAUCUGCGAUGACGGAGCUAUCACGGUCAGACAGAGGGGAUGACGUGGAAAGUGUACGGUUUUCAGAUCUAAUUUAUGGUCGCAAUUUCAGAGUUGUUUUUAUUGGAUCAACACUAUUUGCUUUACAGCAGUUAUCUGGUAUAAAUGCUGUAUUCUAUUUCUCUUCGGCCGUCUUUAAGAGUGCAGGAGUACCUUCAGAUGUGGCAAACAUGUGUGUAGGAUUUGCAAAUUUAUUGGGAUCAAUUGUUGCAAUGCUUUUGAUGGAUAAACUAGGAAGGAGGGUACUUCUUCUGGGGAGCUUCAUGGGCAUGGCGGUAGCAAUGGGCCUACAGGUCACUGCAGCAACUCUUCAUUAUCAAGCAUCUGGAGCUUUGUAUCUGUCUGUUGGUGGAAUGUUAUUGUUUGUCCUGACAUUUGCACUGGGAGCUGGUCCAGUCCCUGCCCUUCUCUUACCAGAAAUUUUUCCCAGCCGGAUUCGAGCAAAAGCUAUGGCAAUCUGCAUGUGCGUGCAUUGGGUUGUGAAUUUCUUUGUUGGUUUGCUGUUCUUGCGCUUGCUGGAACAACUCGGACCGCAGAUCUUGUACUCGAUAUUUUCUUCCUUUUGCUUGAUGGCAGUGUUCUUUGUGAAAAGGAACGUGGUUGAGACCAAAGGAAAGUCUCUCCAGGAAAUCGAGAUUGCACUUCUACCGUCAGAAUAGAGUUUUUUACCCCCCUCAUGGACAGCUUCAAGUGUUCAGGCUAUAUGCAGCAUCUGAGGAUUCUACUAAACUACAGAUCAUCUGUCCAUCUGUCUGGAGCUGAUGGGGCCAAACUAAAUAUCUUGCCUGUUGUACCCACUUGCAUCCUUUUCCAUCAGACUCUAUCCUUUCACACCAGACUCAGGGUGCAGCUUGGGCGGAUCGGGUCAGGUUGAAGGUCGACCCAAGCUCAACCUAACCUCAAGAGGAAGAAAUAACGACUUCUCGACCCAAACAAAAUUCUGGUUGGGGUGGGUUAACGCAUAAAAUUAAACAUCUAACCAUCAAAUAACAACAUUAAAAUAGCACUUGCAACCAAGACCGUAAUGACCCCCACCCCCACCGUUACUUGUAUUAUUUGGGCUGUAAUGGCCGUUACGUUCUCAUUUCUUUAUUGAAAGAAAUCCGAAAAACCU